rnacentral:rRNA from 1 species
GACGUAGGGCGCGAGCGUUGUCCGGAUUUAUUGGGCGUAAAGAGCUCGUAGGCGGUCUGUUGCGUCGGCUGUGAAAACCCGGGGCUCAACUCCGGACCUGCAGCCGAUACGGGCAGACUAGAGUUCGGCAGGGGAGACUGGAAUUCCUGGUGUAGCGGUGAAAUGCGCAGAUAUCAGGAGGAACACCGGUGGCGAAGGCGGGUCUCUGGGCCGAUACUGACGCUGAGGAGCGAAAGCGUGGGGAGCGAACAGG